rnacentral:sRNA from 1 species
GAUUAAUGAUUAAUUGAAUUAUACUGAAAUUAGGUAAAUGUCCUUUCAUCUUAAAUCCUAUUAAAGUUUGUAAAGUUGUUAAAAUGUACAUGUGAAGAUGUCGAACUUUAUUAUCUUUUAUAUUCCCAUCCUUGUGUUUGAACUGUUCCCCUGUUUCCUCAUCCGUUACAUAAAUAUAUAACAGGUAUACACAUCCUGUUAUAUGAAUAUAUACCAGGUAUAUAACUAUACAUCAAAACAGUGCCAUGGCUGAUCACAUAACAGAAUAGAUCUGAUUCAAAUUAAUUGAACUGUGUCAUUAAACAAAUAAGGAUCUAUGUAAUAGAAUCAAUGAUUUGAGAUUUCACAUCAGUCAAAUUAUGCAUUAAAUUGUUUUACUUUCGUAAAUUCUGUAUUGAUUUUAACUUAUUUUUAUUUUUGAUUUAAUGUUCAUUGAGAAAUUUUAUGGAAAAUUAUAACAUGUGAUUGUUUGAUAGUUUUAAACAAAACUAAGAAUGGCACUCUCUUCUAUCAAUAAAUGAAUUUCUUUUUAAAAACAAAUUUUAUAUGUAUUUGUUAUCUUCCUUGUUAAAUAUUGCUGAAUCUGCAUUUUCAUGAAAUCCCUUUUUUUUCUUUGUAAGUAUAAUGUUCUAUUGUAUUUUAUGUUGUAAGAAAAGUUUAUGUAUUUCAGUUGAUAUGGUCUUUAUUUUGUCAUCUCUUCAAACAUCCCGAUCUACAGUUCAUACAUUUUGCACAAAGCAGACGACUACCAUGUGUUUAUCAAGUGUUUGCAGCACUGGACACUUUUUAUUUCACGAUUUUAUAGUUUUUAUGUUGGCGUUUUACUUUAUUUUAUCAGAGCCUUUGGAUUUUAGACCGUCAUUUUUACACCUGUUGAUAUAUAUACUAUUUUUAUCUGACAGCUUUAACAAUGCAGAAAGCAUGUUAUAAGGUUCUUCCAAAUCUAUCAUACAUGUGACAAGGACCAGUGUUAUGUUGUGUGUUAAAGUACCAAUAAAGUUGUUUUAAAAGUU